rnacentral:rRNA from 1 species
GACAUAGGUGGCGAACGUUAUCCGGAAUCAUUGGGCGUAAAGGAUGCGUAGAUGGUUUAAUAAGUUAUUGGUGGGAAAUCAGGGCUUAACCCUGUGGAAGUUAAUAAUACUGUUAGACUUGAGUACAGGAGAGGUUGACGGAACUCUAUGUGGAGCGGUAAAAUGUGUAGAUAUAUGGAAGAACACCGAUAUGGCGAAGGCAGUCAACUAUUCUGUUACUGACGUUUGAGGCAUGAAAGCGUGGGGAGCGAAACGG